rnacentral:misc_RNA from 1 species
UACAGGACUGCGCUGCUGCCAAA